rnacentral:tRNA from 1 species
GCUGGCUUGGCAGAAUAGUGCUUCAAAUUUAGAAUUUGAAAAUGUAAAAUAUACAGUUAGUA